rnacentral:rRNA from 1 species
UACGGGGGGAGCAAGCGUUGUUCGGAUUUACUGGGCGUAAAGGGCGCGUAGGCGGCCACCGCAAGUCGACUGUGAAAUCUCCGGGCUUAACCCGGAAAGGUCAGCCGAUACUGCGGGGCUAGAGUGCAGAAGGGGCAACUGGAAUUCUCGGUGUAGCGGUGAAAUGCGUAGAUAUUGGGAGGAACACCAGUGGCGAAGGCGGCCACCUGGACAGAGAUUGACGCUGAGGCGCGAAAGCGUGGGGAUCAAACAGGG